AUUGAACGCUGGCGGCAGGCCUAACACAUGCAAGUCGAACGAGUGGCGGACGGGUGAGUAAUGUCUGGGAAACUGCCUGAUGGAGGGGGAUAACUACUGGAAACGGUAGCUAAUACCGCAUACCAUCGGAUGUGCCCAGAUGGGAUUAGCUAGUAGGUGGGGUAAAGGCUCACCUAGGCGACGAUCCCUAGCUGGUCUGAGAGGAUGACCGGCAACACUGGAACUGAGACACGGUCCAGCCUCCUACGGAGGGCAUCAGUGGGAAAUAUUCCACAAUGGGCGAAAGCCUGAUGCGGCCAGGCCGCGUGUAUGAAGAAGGCCUUCGGGUUGUAAAGUACUUUCAGCGGGGAGGCGUUACCCGAAGAAGAAGCACCGGCUAACUCCGUGCCAGCAGCCGCGGUAAUAC
rnacentral:rRNA from 1 species